AGUUGACGUAUUCGGACUCGCAUUCCGCCGGUGUUUGUGGUCGUUGCGUUGGCGGCGGUGGCUUUGCGGUCACCGCUCGUCGGCGUCGACGGGCCGUGAGCGCCGGCGUAUUUGUGGGUCGUUGUGCGCUGGGACGCGUGCGUUGGUCGCUGGCGGCGUGUGGACACGAGGAUGCUCGCUUCGCGGCGAGUAAAACCGGGUCCGCGCCGGCGGCGGUUCGACGUGCGCGCUUCUCUUCUGUGGGGGCGUUGUCGAGCAGCACGGCGGCUAGCCGACGUGGCGCUGUAUGGCGGUCGCAUGCGACACGUGUACGGCGCCGUGUCGAUGGUCGUCGUGUUCUUGCGGCGUUUUUCCGGUGUAAAAGUCGAUCAUCUAUCCGACCCGUCUUGAAACACGGACCAAGGAGUUUAACGUCUACGCGAGUCAUUGGGCGUUGAAAACCCAAAGGCGUAAUGAAAGUGAAGGUGUCCUCGACGGCACUGAUAUGCGAUCCGAUGGGCCGCGGCCGCAGCCGGAGCAGCAUAGCCCCGUUCUUGUCGCUUGCGAUGGGGCGGAGGAAGAGCGUAUGCGUUGAGACCCGAAAGAUGGUGAACUAUGCUUGAGCAGGACGAAGUCAGAGGAAACUCUGAUGGAAGUCCGAAUCGGUUCUGACGUGCAAAUCGAUCGUCUGACUUGAGUAUA
rnacentral:rRNA from 1 species